AUGUAAAGAUGCUGUGCCCAUAGGUGCAUGCCAUGCCUGUCAAUGGGGCUAAACAAAAAAGCAGAUGACAGUAGAUCUACGGAUGAUCUGCUCAGUGUGCUCCUGUCCCAAGGGUGAGUUUUGGGGAGACAAUUUGCUGCCCUAGAUGAUCUUGGAUCUAUGCCUGAAUGACUAAUAUUCCAAUGUUUUCCUUUAACAGAGUUAAAUCUGAGCUAAGGCCAAACAGAGUCCCCCUAAAUGGAGCUUGAAGGGUAAUGGCACUCUAGGAGACUGCACGUCUUUUGCUUCACAAUGAUUUCAAGCUCGGCGGACGAGUGGCAAAAUGCUCGCUGAUGUCCCUUUGGAAACAUCAUCAUCAUCAUCGUAAUCAUCUGUAGAGGAACGAUAACGAGCGUCCUGCCUCCCGCUAGGAGAAGACUGCAAGGACAUACUCGAGACAAUACUCACAAUAAAAUAAACCCAACAAUCCCAUAUCUGCUGGGGAAACAGUAAAGCAGUGGGAGCCUUACUUCAUAAGUGGUGGAGUUGCCCAAAAAGCCCAACCAAGCUGGACCCAGAUCUACAAGAUACAGGAAUUCAUUAACUGAAAAUGGCGGCAACACCAGGCCGAGCAUUAUUCCCAUGGACUGGAGGAGUUGCCAAGGUAUCAGAGAAAACAUGUCUUCCAUGUAAUAACUUCAGCCAGACUUCUUCUAGCUAAGAACUGGAAUGAACCAAGA